rnacentral:rRNA from 1 species
CCUACGGGAGGCAGCAGUGGGGAAUAUUGGACAAUGGGCGAAAGCCUGAUCCAGCAAUACCGCGUGUGUGAAGAAGGCCUUCGGGUUGUAAAGCACUUUAAGCAGGGAAGAAAAAAUUCAAGCUAACAUCUUGAGUCUUGACGGUACCUGAAGAAUAAGCACCGGCUAACUCUGUGCCAGCAGCCGCGGUAAUACAGAGGGUGCAAGCGUUAAUCGGAUUUACUGGGCGUAAAGCGUGUGUAGGUGGUUGGGAAAGUCAAUUGUGAAAGCCCCGGGCUCAACUCGGGAACUGCUUUUGAUACUGUCUGACUAGAAUUCGGUAGAGGGAGGCGGAACUCCAGGUGUAGCGGUGAAAUGCGUAGAUAUCUGGAAGAACACCAAUGGCGAAGGCAACCUCCUGGGCCUGAAUUGACACUGAGACACGAAAGCGUGGGGAUCAAACAGGAUUAGAUACCCUGGUAGUCCACGCCGUAAACGAUGACAACUUGACGUCGGUUUGCUCUGCGAAUCGGUGUCGUAGCUAACGCGAUAAGUUGUCCGCCUGGGGGAGGACGGCCGGCGAGUAGUUAACGUUACGUAAAGAAGUUAGUAGGCGNGNGAGNGCGAGGACGACACGAGGGAGGAGG